UUUUUAUAGUGCCUAGUUAAUGUCAUAAUGUGAGUAUCAUUCUCUAUAGGGCAAUACCAGGGAUGCACAGUUGAGCUGAAUCAGCUUUCCUUCAAAAUAUGCUUUUGUCUGAGUCAUUGUCUGUUGUCACAUUGCAGGCUUCACAGUGCUUUACUGGAGGGUUCAUGCCAGUCCAACAACUAAUGCUGCUCUCACUGCAAGAUCACAGCUACACCUGAAGCUCAAGAUAGAAAACUGAUUUCUUCAUUCCACAUUCCUGAAAGAAGAUACUAUAGCCUUCAUGUGAGCACAUGUAAAACCAUAUUUUUUAAUAAAAUAGUUUUAUCUUGUC
rnacentral:lncRNA from 1 species